UCGCCAUUCAUUUCAAUAUCUAUAUACGGUGACAAUUGAUCAGUCUAUUUGAUCAAAAUCCGGCGAGACCCAUACCCUAGGAUCCUAAACGAUCACAUCGUUGUCCCCUUUUCUCCCAUUUUCAGGGAUUCUCAAAUCCUUCUACUGUUGUCGAGUUUGAAUUUCAAAUUCAAAAUUUUCACCCGCUUCCCCCCUAAUUGGCCUUAGUUUUCCUCUAUAUAAGUCACUCUUACCUAUCGGUAAAAAGGAGGGCAGCGAGCAUAGGAAGAGGAUUUUGAGUUCGGUUCCUUGGCAAUAGAUGUUUAACAGUUAAGAUUUUGAUAUGAAGCUCUCUGGUUUUAAGUUCCUAGAAGGUCGUCGCCAGAUUUUCUUGUUUUGCUGUUCGUAUUCGAAUUUUGUGGUGGAAGAAUUGUGUUCGUAUUCCUUUGCUCGUUCGUCCCAUUCGCUUCACCAGAAAAGCCCCAUGCCAAAUUGCAAAGUGAUGAACAGGCUCAAUAUGAGGCCGGAAAUUAGUUUGUGAAGCCUAGAAAAGGGUUGUAUAUGUGCUGUUAUACAGAAUUUUACACCGUUAUACAGGUUUAGUUAAGAAAAUAUGCGGUUAAAAAUGGAAGUAAAGGUUGUAAUAGUUGAAGUAGCCUGUAUACUUUCGAUAUUUAGCCGAAUAUACACGAAAAGGGCUAAAAUACACACUGUAUACGACAGAAUACACUUGGUAUAUACACAACUUUUCAAUGGCAGAAAUAAGGCUGAAGCCCAAAUAAUUUGCAGCAGGCCCAGAAAGGACCCAAAUCUUCUCUCUCCCUUACUCUUAAAAUAUUUGAUUAUGAUUAUUUAUUGUUUGAUUCUUUAAUAACUCUAACUUUGGAUUUAUUAAAUAACGUAAUUAAAUUUCCAAAAGAUGAA